UACGAAGGGGGCUAGCGUUGCUCGGAAUUACUGGGCGUAAAGCGCACGUAGGCGGCUUUCUAAGUCGGGGGUGAAAUCCUGGAGCUCAACUCCAGAACUGCCUUCGAUACUGGAGAGCUUGAGUCCGGGAGAGGUGAGCGGAACUGCGAGUGUAGAGGUGAAAUUCGUAGAUAUUCGCAAGAACACCAGUGGUGAAGGCGGCUCACUGGCCCGGUACUGACGCUGAGGUGCGAAAGCGUGGGGAGCAAACAGG
rnacentral:rRNA from 1 species